GGUUAAGUGACUAAGCGUACACGGUGGAUGCCUGGGCAGUCAGAGGCGAUGAAGGACGUACUAACUUGCGAUAAGCGCAGAUAAGGCAGUAAGAGCCGUUUGAGUCUGCGAUUUCCGAAUGGGGAAACCCAACUGCAUAAGCAGUUACUGUUAACUGAAUACAUAGGUUAACAGAGCAAACCGGGGGAACUGAAACAUCUAAGUACCCCGAGGAGAAGAAAUCAACCGAGAUUCCGGUAGUAGCGGCGAGCGAACCUGGAUUAGCCCUUAAGCACUCGGUGAAGUAGGUGAACAAGCUGGAAAGCUUGGCGAUACAGGGUGAUAGCCCCGUAACCGACGCUUCAUCGAGCGUGAAAUCGAGUAGGGCGGGACACGUGAUAUCCUGUCUGAAUAUGGGGGGACCAUCCUCCAAGGCUAAAUACUCCUGACUGACCGAUAGUGAACCAGUACCGUGAGGGAAAGGCGAAAAGAACCCCUGUGAGGGGAGUGAAAUAGAACCUGAAACCGUGUACGUACAAGCAGUAGGAGCACCUUCGUGGUGUGACUGCGUACCUUUUGUAUAAUGGGUCAGCGACUUAUAUUCAGUGGCAAGGUUAACCGUAUAGGGGAGCCGUAGCGAAAGCGAGUCUUAACUGGGCGCUCAGUCUCUGGAUAUAGACCCGAAACCGGGUGAUCUAGCCAUGGGCAGGUUGAAGGUUGAGUAACAUCAACUGGAGGACCGAACCGACUAAUGUUGAAAAAUUAGCGGAUGACUUGUGGCUAGGGGUGAAAGGCCAAUCAAACUCGGAGAUAGCUGGUUCUCCCCGAAAGCUAUUUAGGUAGCGCCUCGGACGAAUACUACUGGGGGUAGAGCACUGUUAAGGCUAGGGGGUCAUCCCGACUUACCAACCCUUUGCAAACUCCGAAUACCAGUAAGUACUAUCCGGGAGACACACGGCGGGUGCUAACGUCCGUCGUGGAGAGGGAAACAACCCAGACCGCCAGCUAAGGUCCCAAAGUAUUGCUAAGUGGGAAACGAUGUGGGAAGGCUCAGACAGCUAGGAUGUUGGCUUAGAAGCAGCCAUCAUUUAAAGAAAGCGUAAUAGCUCACUAGUCGAGUCGGCCUGCGCGGAAGAUGUAACGGGGCUAAGCAAUACACCGAAGCUGCGGCAAUAUCUUUUAGAUAUUGGGUAGGGGAGCGUUCUGUAAGCCGUUGAAGGUGAAUCGUAAGGUUUGCUGGAGGUAUCAGAAGUGCGAAUGCUGACAUGAGUAACGACAAAGGGGGUGAAAAACCUCCUCGCCGGAAGACCAAGGGUUCCUGUCCAACGUUAAUCGGGGCAGGGUGAGUCGACCCCUAAGGUGAGGCCGAAAGGCGUAAUCGAUGGGAAACGGGUUAAUAUUCCCGUACUUCUGACUAUUGCGAUGGGGGGACGGAGAAGGCUAGGUGGGCCAGGCGACGGUUGUCCUGGUUCAAGUGCGUAGGCUUGAGAGUUAGGUAAAUCCGGCUCUCUCUAAGGCUGAGACACGACGUCGAGCUACUACGGUAGUGAAGUCAUUGAUGCCAUGCUUCCAGGAAAAGCCUCUAAGCUUCAGAUAGUCAGGAAUCGUACCCCAAACCGACACAGGUGGUCGGGUAGAGAAUACCAAGGCGCUUGAGAGAACUCGGGUGAAGGAACUAGGCAAAAUGGUACCGUAACUUCGGGAGAAGGUACGCUCUUGAUGGUGAAGUCCCUCGCGGAUGGAGCUGACGAGAGUCGCAGAUACCAGGUGGCUGCAACUGUUUAUUAAAAACACAGCACUGUGCAAAAUCGCAAGAUGACGUAUACGGUGUGACGCCUGCCCGGUGCCGGAAGGUUAAUUGAUGGGGUUAGCGCAAGCGAAGCUCUUGAUCGAAGCCCCGGUAAACGGCGGCCGUAACUAUAACGGUCCUAAGGUAGCGAAAUUCCUUGUCGGGUAAGUUCCGACCUGCACGAAUGGCGUAAUGAUGGCCACGCUGUCUCCACCCGAGACUCAGUGAAAUUGAAAUCGCUGUGAAGAUGCAGUGUACCCGCGGCUAGACGGAAAGACCCCGUGAACCUUUACUACAGCUUGGCACUGAACAUUGAACCUACAUG
rnacentral:rRNA from 1 species